AAAUGUAUUAAGACACUUUUUUUCCUUUGGAACAAGACAGAGAAGGUCAGCGUGGCCUCUGCACAAGAACGGCAUGCAAAUUUGUGAAGCAUUUCAUAGCUGU
rnacentral:snRNA from 1 species